GACAAGGGGAGGGGAAAAGUAACUAUUUUGAAAUAUGCCAGUGCAUUCUGUUCUUUUUAACAAGGUCUGCUCUCAUGAGAAACUAUUUUUAUCAGAAACUAUUUUAUCUUUGAUGGAGCUAGCCUGGAUUACACCGAGCAUAGAGGAUGGCUCUUCUGGAGGGUACCUGAUUAGUGAUUUUCAUGGUUAAUAUUUUACUUCAGCAUAGCUUAGCAUUACCCUGGCCUAUACAUGUGCCAUUUCUAAUUGUUUGUAUACAACAGUCCAGAGUUUUGUUUUUGGAAAGCCUGUGAAACUAAAAACAAGCUCAAAGGAAAGAGUACAUGAUCAGUCUGGUGUCUACAUUGAACAAGAGGGAAGAGUGUCCUCCAUGUAUCUGCCGACUGUGAGAUCCUGGCCUAGUGCUAUCCUAUAUAACUUCUGGAUCUAUGAACCUGUGAGUCUGCAUGCUUGUUUUCCUGGGCAUAGACAUAGCUCAGAAGAAGACCAUGGAUAUGGACCAUGGAGAUGUGCAAUAAAGACUGCUGGGAGAAACUCAAAGUUUAGGUGAUGCUGUAAAACAGACAAGCAAGCUUGAAAAGGAAUUUGGGAGCUGAGGUAUGUAUGUUUGUGCUCCUUUGAGAAAUUGGAGCUGUGUGUGUAACUUGGGAGAGAAAGUGCACUUAGGCUUCGGUGGAGAUGCUGGGGAAGGAGACGUUUUGAUUUAUGUGUCCAAUAUAUGUGAGUUGAGGGC
rnacentral:lncRNA from 12 species